ACUUAAAAACAAUGCCCUUGCUGACUCCGGAAGUACAUGCGGCGCUGACGUCAGACUCAUCUUCAGUUGCGGUUCCAAAUAUUCCACAGGCCUAGAGCGCCCUCAUGCGGUUUAGUGUGAAAAUAAAAUGUGAAUUGAUAUACAGGGUCCGGCAAAAAGAUUUGACACAAUUGUAGGUUUAAUAAAAUGCAAAUAAAUUAAAGAAACAAAAAGGGGUUUUUUUCAUUUUCGAUAAGUACAUGUAAUGCCAUUUUUGGUUCGUUUUGUUUUGUUUCAUUUCAUUUCGUUUUUUUGAACAAUGUUAUUUUGGUCUUACCACUGCCACAUUUUCUGGAGUUCUGGCGGUGCGAGGUCAGCCGGUUGAUUUUCGUUUCAAUGCUGAUCCACUGGCUCUGAAGUUCGUAACCCAUAACAAGAUCAUGUUUAGAGCAGGUACGGGAUCAUGUCUACCAAGUCUGAAGCGCAAACGGAACACUCGUGUUACUGUUACAGAUUUGUUCUUGAUUAAUGUUUCCACAAUGAAAGCGCGCUGCUCACCGGUCCAAUUCAUGUUAGCAACUGAAACGAAAUAAAAUAACAUUAUUCGAAAAGAAAAUGAAAUGAAACGAAACAAAACAAAACAAAAUGGCAUUAUAUGUACUUUU